rnacentral:rRNA from 1 species
UACGUAGGGUGCAAGCGUUGUCCGGAAUUAUUGGGCGUAAAGAGCUCGUAGGCGGUCUGUCACGUCGGCUGUGAAAUCCCGAGGCUCAACCUCGGGUCUGCAGUCGAUACGGGCAAACUAGAGUAUUGCAGGGGAGACUGGAAUUCCCGGUGUAGUGGUGAAAUGCGUAGAUAUCGGGAGGAACACCAGUGGCGAAGGCGACUUCCUGGCCUGUUCUUGACGCUGAGGCGCGAAAGCUAGGGUAGCAAACGGG